ACUUAAAUUGAAGAGUUUGAUCAUGGCUCAGAUUGAACGCUGGCGGCAGGCCUAACACAUGCAAGUCGAGCGGUAGCACAGAGAGCUUGCUCUCGGGUGACGAGCGGCGGACGGGUGAGUAAUGUCUGGGAAACUGCCUGAUGGAGGGGGAUAACUACUGGAAACGGUAGCUAAUACCGCAUAAUGUCGCAAGACCAAAGUGGGGGACCUUCGGGCCUCAUGCCAUCAGAUGUGCCCAGAUGGGAUUAGCUUGUAGGUGGGGUAACGGCUCACCUAGGCGACGAUCCCUAGCUGGUCUGAGAGGAUGACCAGCCACACUGGAACUGAGACACGGUCCAGACUCCUACGGGAGGCAGCAGUGGGGAAUAUUGCACAAUGGGCGCAAGCCUGAUGCAGCCAUGCCGCGUGUGUGAAGAAGGCCUUCGGGUUGUAAAGCACUUUCAGCGGGGAGGAAGGCGGUGAGGUUAAUAACCUCAUCGAUUGACGUUACCCGCAGAAGAAGCACCGGCUAACUCCGUGCCAGCAGCCGCGGUAAUACGGAGGGUGCAAGCGUUAAUCGGAAUUACUGGGCGUAAAGCGCACGCAGGCGGUCUGUCAAGUCGGAUGUGAAAUCCCCGGGCUCAACCUGGGAACUGCAUUCGAAACUGGCAGGCUAGAGUCUUGUAGAGGGGGGUAGAAUUCCAGGUGUA
rnacentral:rRNA from 1 species